rnacentral:rRNA from 1 species
CACGUGGAUAAUCUACCCAGUAAUCCGGGAUAACAUCUCGAAAGAGAUGCUAAUACCCGAUAAGCCCACGAUCUCUUCGGAGAACGAGGGAAAAGGUGGGGACCUUCGGGCCUGCCGUUGCUGGAUGAGUCCGCGGCCCAUUAGCUAGUUGGUAGGGUAAUGGCCUACCAAGGCUACGAUGGGUAGCUGGUCUGAGAGGAUGAUCAGCCACACUGGAACUGAGACACGGUCCAG